GGUUAAUAGAGAGUUGAUGGGUGUCAUUGAAUCACUACAACGCAGAGAUGCAGAGCUUGAAAUUUUUGACGAUUCUACUGAAGAAAGUGAUGGUACACAUGAGAAAACACAGGCGCUUGCUAAUACAGAAAUAUGCAAUGCAAAUAGUGAAAUUCUGGAAGAAGCCAAAGCUAGCAAUUUGAUGUUUCAAACAGAAACUAAUCCCCAGCAAACAUACAAGGAGGAGGCAAGUGAUGGAAAUGACAAGUCAAAUGUUGUCACGCAGAAGGAAGGGAUUUUGCUUGAACAACCUUAUAAUGUGAAUUGUGAAAUUGAAAUUGAUGCUAGCAACUCGGAAAUAGCUGACGGUAAAGAACAAACAACCACAGAAACAGUUGAGCAGACCUACAGGAGAAAAAAAUACUAAUGAUGAAGGAAGCCAGCUAAUGGUGGAUGCUGCAGUUAAGUCCAGGAGCAAGAAGGCUAAAUUGAUGGUAGCAUAAUUUGAUUUGCAUGAACAUGCGCUACUGUAUAUAUUUAUAUGUGGUUGGUGUGAAGGUAGUUUAUCACAGUUUUUUAUAUAUUGUUUCACAGCUCUUAGGCCAAAGAU
rnacentral:misc_RNA from 1 species